GAUGAACGCUGGCGGCGUGCCUAAUACAUGCAAGUCGAGCGAACGGACGAGAAGCUUGCUUCUCUGAUGUUAGCGGCGGACGGGUGAGUAACACGUGGAUAACCUACCUAUAAGACUGGGAUAACUUCGGGAAACCGUAGCUAAUACCGGAUAAUAUUUUGAACCGCAUGGUUCAAAAGUGAAAGACGGUCUUGCUGUCACUUAUAGAUGGAUCCGCGCUGCAUUAGCUAGUUGGUAAGGUAACGGCUUACCAAGGCAACGAUGCAUAGCCGACCUGAGAGGGUGAUCGGCCACACUGGAACUGAGACUCGGUCCAGACUCCUACGGGAGGCAGCAGUAGGGAAUCUUCCGCAAUGGGCGAAAGCCUGACGGAGCAACGCCGCGUGAGUGAUGAAGGUCUUCGGAUCGUAAAACUCUGUUAUUAGGGAAGAACAUAUGUGUAAGUAACUGUGCACAUCUUGACGGUACCUAAUCAGAAAGCCACGGCUAACUACGUG
rnacentral:rRNA from 1 species